UACGUAGGGGGCAAGCGUUGUCCGGAUUUAUUGGGCGGAAAGGGCGUGUAGGCGGCCAUACAGGUCCGUUGUGAAAACUGGAGGCUUAACCUCCAGACGUCGAUGGAAACCGUAUGGCUAGAGUCCGGAAGAGGAGAGUGGAAUUCCUGGUGUAGCGGUGAAAUGCGCAGAUAUCAGGAAGAACACCCGUGGCGAAGGCGGCUCUCUGGGACGGUACUGACGCUGAGACGCGAAAGCGUGGGGAGCGAACAGG
rnacentral:rRNA from 1 species